GUAUCGUAUGAAAGGAGUGGUUAGCACUUCCCUCGAUAAAGAUGGAAGAGGUCCAAGUGGCCUAUACAACACACAUAUGGUUAAGGCACUGUCGCUUACUUUGUGGCAUCUAACCAUGUUUUUUG